rnacentral:rRNA from 1 species
AGCCCCGUACACAAAAAUGCACAUACUGUGAGCUCGAUGAGUAGGGCGGGACACGUGGUAUCCUGUCUGAAUAUGGGGGGACCAUCCUCCAAGGCUAAAUACUCCUGACUGACCGAUAGUGAACCAGUACCGUGAGGGAAAGGCGAAAAGAACCCCGGCGAGGGGAGUGAAAAAGAACCUGAAACCGUGUACGUACAAGCAGUGGGAGCACGCUUCGGCGUGUGACUGCGUACCUUUUGUAUAAUGGGUCAGCGACUUAUAUUCUGUAGCAAGGUUAACCGAAUAGGGGAGCCGAAGGGAAACCGAGUCUUAACUGGGCGUUAAGUUGCAGGGUAUAGACCCGAAACCCGGUGAUCUAGCCAUGGGCAGGUUGAAGGUUGGGUAACACUAACUGGAGGACCGAACCGACUAAUGUUGAAAAAUUAGCGGAUGACUUGUGGCUGGGGGUGAAAGGCCAAUCAAACCGGGAGAUAGCUGGUUCUCCCCGAAAGCUAUUUAGGUAGCGCCUCGUGAAUUCAUCUCCGGGGGUAGAGCACUGUUUCGGCAAGGGGGUCAUCCCGACUUACCAACCCGAUGCAAACUGCGAAUACCGGAGAAUGUUAUCACGGGAGACACACGGCGGGUGCUAACGUCCGUCGUGAAGAGGGAAACAACCCAGACCGCCAGCUAAGGUCCCAAAGUCAUGGUUAAGUGGGAAACGAUGUGGGAAGGCCCAGACAGCCAGGAUGUUGGCUUAGAAGCAGCCAUCAUUUAAAGAAAGCGUAAUAGCUCACUGGUCGAGUCGGCCUGCGCGGAAGAUGUAACGGGGCUAAACCAUGCACCGAAGCUGCGGCAGCGACACUAUGUGUUGUUGGGUA